GGCCGGUAUAAACUUCCGGCUCAGAUCGAGCUAUGCCUGAUGCUGCCUUAAGCCUUAUGAGGUCGCCAUGGAACCGCAGCAGGAGAAAAUCAGCUUCCUGUUUGGAUACCCACUAGACAUUUGAAGUUCUACAAUGAACCCAUCAGAGAUGCAAAUGAAAGUGCCUCCGCAGAGACAGAAAACCUGCAAUCGAGCAUCAUCGACUCGCAGGGUGAACAGAAUGGUGAUAUCAGAAGAACAGAUGAAGUUACCAUCCACCAAGAAAACGGCACACGUGGAGAGCCAGGGAGAGAAAGAGAAAGAAAAAGAGACAGAGAUCAGAGAGAGACACAGAAAGUGAGACUGGGGAGAGAGAUAGUGUAAGAGAGAGAGAGAGAGACCGUAAGAGAAGGGAGACAAAGAGAUAAAAGGUGCGAGUGAGCAGGUGAGGAGAAAGACUGAAAACGAUGAGAAACAGCAACUAAGACACAAAGGAAGUGGGAGACUGCCCGGGUGCCGCAGCACCCACACCGUCCUCUUGCCCCCGUCACUUGGGUUAAAACCACCGGAAACUCCACUAUUGCAAAUUUUGUAUUAAUCCUUGUAUGUCUGUCCUUUCUAUUGUUAGUCUACAGGUGUAUCCAGCAGCUCCAGAGAGACAGCCACCAGCGAGAAGAGGCCAUGAUGAUGGUGGUGGUUUUGUGAAAACGAAAAGGGGGAUAUGUAGGGAAAAGAAAGAGAGAGCAGACUGUUACUGUGUCUACAUAGAAAGGGAAGACAUAAGAGACUCCAUUUUGAAAAAGACCUGUACUUUCAACAAUUGCUUUGCUGAGAUGUUGUUAAUCUGUAGCUUUGCCCCAGCCACCUUGCCCCAACCACUUUGACCCAACCUGGAGCUCACAAAAACAUGUGUGUAUGAAAUCAAGGUUUAAGGGAUGUAGGGCUGUGCAGGACGUGCCUUGUUAACAAAAUAUUUGCAAGCAGUAUACUUGGUAAAAGUCAUCACCAUUCUCUAGUCUCAAUAAACCAGGGGCACAAUGCACCGUGGAAAGCCGCAGGGAGCCCUGCCCUUGAAAGCGGCGUAUUGUCCAAGGUUUCUCCCCAUGUGAUUGUCUGAAAUAUGGCCUCGUGGGAUGAGAAAGACCUGAUGGUCCCCCAGCCUGACACCCAUAAACGGUCUGUGCUGAGGUGGAUUAGUGAAAGAGGAAAGCCGCUUGCAGUUGAGAUGGAGGAAGGCCACUGUCUCCUGCCUGCCACUGGGAACUGAAUGUCUCGGUAUAAAACCCGAUUGUAUAUUUGUUCAAUUCUGAGAUGGGAGAAAAACUGCCCUAUGGUGGGAGGUGAGACAUGUUUGCAGCAAUGCUGCCUUGUUAUUCUUUACUCCACUGAGAUGUUUGGGUGGAGAGAAACAUAAAUCUGGCUUACGUGCACAUCCAGUCACAGUACCUUCCCUUGAACUUCAUUAUGACAUAGAUUCUAUUGCUCACAUGUUCGUUGCUGACCUUCUUAUUAUCACCCUGCCCUCCCACUACAUUCCUUUUUGCUGAAAUAAUGAAGAUAAUAAUCAAUAAAAACUGAGGGAACUCAGAGACCGGUGCCAGUGCAGGUCCUUGGUAUGCUGAGCGCCGGUCCCCUGGGCCCACUGUUGUUUCU
rnacentral:lncRNA from 10 species